ACGGUGGUUGGUUUAACUGGAAUUGGCAUUGGAUAGGGCAAGGUUUUUUCUCCGACAUAAAGGAAAUUUGAGAAGAUGUAAGACAAAAGGAGGGUCUGAGGAGCAUCUUUCACAACAGCUUAGAAAAUAUCCCCAGCCACUGGGGUGAAGAGGACGUGUAACUGAAGUUCCUGUAUUCUGGGGCAUCCCAGCGAGACCCUUCCAUCAAGGGACAAGGCCACUAGAGGACACCCAGGAGAGAACACCUGCCCUGGGGAUUUCACUCGCUCCCCUCCUCCUGCCCUCCUUUGUUCACUCCCUCACUCUACUCACGAGCCCCUCGGAAGUGCAGGGCUCCAUUGCAGAGAUGAGGGCACAGCCUGCCACAGUCUCCUGGCAGACGUCUCUGCACACACUUGUCAAACAUCUGAGAAGAGCACAGAGAAGCUCCCACAUGGUUCUGAUCAAGGACAGGAGGGAAACAUAUUUUCGAUGCGUGUACAGUAAAUGGUUGUGCUGGUUUAAAACAUGUAUUCAUAUAUCUUUAGAUGCAAGGCAGCCAUUGGUUAAA